UACCAGCUCUCCGAGUGGUAGGGAUGAUUAUUGGGCUUAAAGCGUCCGUAGCCGGCUUAGCAAGUCUCCUGUUAAACUCAGCGACCUAAUCGUUGAAUCGCGGGAGAUACUACUAGGCUAGGAGGCGGGAGAGGUCGACGGUACUUCUGGGGUAGGGGUGAGAUCCUAUAAUCCCGGGAGGACCACCAGUGGCGAAGGCUGUCGACUAGAACGCGCUCGACGGUGAGGGACGAAAGCUGGGGUAGCGAACCGGAUUAGAUACCCGGGUAGUCCCAGCUGUAAACGAUGCGGGCUAGGUGUUGGGAUGGCUACGGGCCAUUUCAGUGCCGCGGGGAAGCCAUUAAGCCCGCCGCCUGGGGAGUACGGCCGCAAGGCUGAAACUUAAAGGAAUUGGCGGGGGAGCACCACAAGGCGUGAAGCUUGCGGUUC
rnacentral:rRNA from 1 species